rnacentral:lncRNA from 1 species
GCGUCCAGCAAGAUCCUGUUAAUGGGACCCGGCCAGUGGAGGGCGGUGCUGACACAGAGAAGCAUAGAAGAUAUGAGGAAGGCUCAUAUCUUCCUCAGGCUGGAGGGUGAUGAGGGCAAGUCCACCUGAGAAGAAUGGAAGAGCAGAGAAGCUGACACACUGUUGGGAAGAUAUGUUCCUUUCACUGAUGUCCCUUCACGCAGUAGAACCGGGAACUUCUCAAACUUCUGUGGGAGUUUCUGAGAGCCAAGUCUCCUUCCUUGCCACCCUGAUCUCCAGGAGCCCUGGGACAGCCGCUGGACACUUCACCUAGCGUCACUGUUUUUACCAUGCUGGCAUCUUUGUUUUAGUGCCUCAAAUUCAUGCUUUCAAGCCCUAAGCCCGCUACAUCAGAACCUGAAUGCCUUUGGAGAUGGUGCUUUGAAAAGACGGGCAAGGACAGGUCACAUGACAUCGUGGGGAAAGUCAUCUGUAGCCAAGCCUGAGGACCUGAGUUCAAUCCCUCGGACUUACACGGUGGCAGGAGAGAACUGGUUAUUACAAGCUGUCCUUGAAUUCCACGACAUGUGAACCUUGAACUCCCAACCCCAACCCACAAAUAAAAAGAUAAAAAUAUAAUC